rnacentral:rRNA from 1 species
UACGUAGGGGGCAAGCGUUGUCCGGAUUUAUUGGGCGUAAAGAGCUCGUAGGCGGUUGGGCAAGUCACGUGUGAAAUCUCCACGCUCAACGUGGAGGCGCCACGUGAGACUGCCCUGACUCGAGUCCGGUAGGGGAGCGUGGAAUUCCCGGUGUAGCGGUGAAAUGCGCAGAGAUCGGGAGGAACACCGGUGGCGAAGGCGGGUCUCUGGGCCGUAACUGACGCUGAGGAGCGAAAGCAUGGGGAGCGAACAGG